rnacentral:rRNA from 1 species
CUUGCACCUCUGGCGUCGAGCGGCGGACGGGUGAGUAAUGCUUGGGAAUAUGCCUUAUGGUGGGGGACAACAGUUGGAAACGACUGCUAAUACCGCAUGAUGUCUACGGACCAAAGUGGGGGACCUUCGGGCCUCACGCCAUAAGAUUAGCCCAAGUGGGAUUAGCUAGUUGGUGAGGUAAUGGCUCACCAAGGCGACGAUCCCUAGCUGGUUUGAGAGGAUGAUCAGCCACACUGGGACUGAGACACGGCCCAGACUCCUAGCGGGAGGCAGCAGGGGGGAAUAUUGCACAAUGGGCACAACCCUGAUGCACCCAUGCCGCGUGUGGGAAGAAGGCCUUUCGGGUUGAAAAGCACUUUCAGUAAGGAGGAAAGGUUAAGUGUUAAUAGCACUUAGCUGUGACGUUACUUACAGAAGAAGCACCGGCUAACUCCGUGCCAGCAGCCGCGGUAAUACGGAGGGUGCGAGCGUUAAUCGGAAUUACUGGGCGUAAAGCGUACGCAGGCGGUUUGUUAAGCGAGAUGUGAAAGCCCCGGGCUCAACCUGGGAACUGCAUUUCGAACUGGCAAACUAGAGUGUGAUAGAGGGUGGUAGAAUUUCAGGUGUAGCGGUGAAAUGCGUAGAGAUCUGAAGGAAUACCGAUGGCGAAGGCAGCCACCUGGGUCAACACUGACGCUCAUGUACGAAAGCGUGGGGAGCAAACAGGAUUAGAUACCCUGGUAGUCCACGCCGUAAACGAUGUCUACUAGAAGCUCGGGUCUUCGGACUUGUUUUUCAAAGCUAACGCAUUAAGUAGACCGCCUGGGGAGUACGGCCGCAAGGUUAAAACUCAAAUGAAUUGACGGGGGCCCGCACAAGCGGUGGAGCAUGUGGUUUAAUUCGAUGCAACGCGAAGAACCUUACCUACACUUGACAUACAGAGAACUUACCAGAGAUGGUUUGGUGCCUUCGGGAACUCUGAUACAGGUGCUGCAUGGCUGUCGUCAGCUCGUGUUGUGAGAUGUUGGGUUAAGUCCCGCAACGAGCGCAACCCCUAUCCUUAGUUGCCAGCGAUUCGGUCGGGAACUCUAAGGAGAAUGCCGGUGAUAAACCCGAAGAAAGGUGGGGACGACGUCAAGUCAUCAUGGCCCUUACGUGUAGGGCUACACACGUGCUACAAUGGCGCAUACAGAGUGCUGCGAACCUGCGAGGGUAAGCGAAUCACUUAAAGUGCGUCGUAGUCCGGAUUGGAGUCUGCAACUCGACUCCAUGAAGUCGG